rnacentral:lncRNA from 1 species
AGGAAAGCUGCUGUCUCCUUCCAGAAAUGCCUGGGAAGGCCGAGGCAGCAGGAUGUGGCCAUUGUCUGAUGUGGAAGCUCCAAGAGACCUCUCUGCACACAUCUGGAAAACCGUGGAGACCUACAGAGAGCGGAGAGGCUGGCCUGCAGGUGGGUGGGCGUGGGCAGGCCAUGGGAUAGGAAAGCGCAGUUUGGUGAAUCCUUGUGAAGCCACCCUUCAGGCCUGGGGUCUGUGAAAAACUCACCCCGUGCCCCACAGCCUGGAAGGAUUGAUGAAUCUGUCUGUGUACAAGCUGGUCAGCCACCUCAGAACAUGAGAGAAAGGGACAGGCCUGGCAAUGCCCUGGAAGGGGACACUGGGGUUCAAGACCCUUCCCCCAGACCCUCCUCAGCUUAGCUUUCCUAGGUCACUCCAGCAUCAUGUGGGGGUUGCUAAAGCAGAAGAACCCUACUGCUAUGGACUGAGCUCUGUGCCCACCACCCCCAUUCCCAUAAAUUCUUUUGUUGAAAUCACAAGCCUCAGAUUGAUGGCACUGGGAGGUGGGCAUUUGGAGGGACUUCAGCCAGGUGGGUGGAGCCCUCAUGACUGGGAUUAGUGCCCUUUAAUGCAUGCUUUCUCUCUUUCUGGUCUCUGCUAUGUGAGGAAGCAGAAAAAGAUGGUUACCAUCAAAUUAGGAAGUGGGCCCUCUUCAGAGUCCAGUCUUGGACUUCCCAGGCUCUAGCUCUGUGAGAAGUAAAUGUUUAUUAAGCCACACAGACUGCAGUAUUCUGUAAAACAGCUCAAAUGGACUGAAUCCCCCAACAAAAAAAAAUAAUAAUAAUCAUUUUCCCAGGUUUAUAACUUUGCUGUCUGUCUCCUCUCUGGAUCUAGAUUGUUCAUCUAUCAGAAGACACUUGUGGGGGCUCUUCCAAUUGAAAGAAUCCACAGCUCUUUUCUAAAAAAAGUGAGGCCUGAGCACAACCCCAGAAAAAUGAGAACCUCAAGAGGCUAUGUUCAGACGAAGCCCACUAUUUCCUUGUGCUCCACACAAAGCUGUGGCAUGCAGGGGAGUAGGGUAAGGCAAAAGCCACUGAGACGGAACACAUGAAAGUCAUUUCCCAUGGAUCUGUAUGUCCCAUCUGCUCAUUACCUGCAUUAUGCAUCACAUACCCAAGGAAAGAAAGGGAGCAUGGCGGGAGGUCCUUUAUCUCAUGUGGUAAAGAACUUUAAAAAAAGCAAAAUUCUGUAAACCCUGCCAUGCUCUCGGGCUAUGUAUUUUCUUUUGCAUGCAGUCCAACCCAUGCAGUGUAUGUCUGCCUGUUGCUUCUCAUUUACACAAAAUGCCGCUUUAAGGGACUCCAGUCUCUCUCAAGGACAGAAAGAACAAGGGUAGUCUAUUUUUGCAAUUGUUAAGAAAUAAAAGGCAAGUGAAUGGCUUUGGGCUUCAUCUCUCUGGAAUCAGAGGAACUCUGGUCAUGUUAAUAACACUGAGCAUUCCUGAAACAAAGAAGUAAAAGUUUAAAUGUUUUAAGAUAAUAUGACCUACACUGAAUACUAACAAGGUGAAGUCUAUAAAAUAUGUCAUGUAGCCUCAUGUCCUUUACUAAAUGGGCAGAUGUGUGAGAACUGAUCUUUGGAGGCACUGGAAUGCAUCUCAUUAAUUAUCUCAAGAGGUAAGCAGAGGAGAUGGGGAUGGGCAGCCUUGGAAGACUCUGGCUAUCCCAUCAAGGGAAGAAUUUCCACAAAUGACUACUAGGUGGGAUUUUACAGAAGGUUCAAACACAGGGUUCUGAGGCUGGACAUAACCACUGACAUUCCUUUGAAACCUAUUGAGAGUAGACAUCAGAUGCAUGUGAUCCGAUGGCAUAUAGCCUUGGUAAAAAAGAAUACAUUAGUACUGGGCAUGGGGGUGCAUGCCUAUAAUCCCAGCAACUCAGGAGGCUAAGGCAGGAGGAUCACAUGUUCAAAGCCAGCCUCAGCAAUUUAUCGAGGCCCUAAGCAACUUCAUGAGAUCCUUCUCAAAAUAAAAAAUAAAGAAAAGGGCUGGGGAUGUGGUUCAGUGGUUUAAUGCACCUGGGUUCAAUCCCCAGUUUUUUUUAAAGUAAUAAAGUACUAACAGAAUCAACAACAUGGAUACAGCCCCAAAAUAUUAUAGAAAGAGAAGGUGGCCAGGUACUGAAGAAUGCAUACUGUGUAAGUCCAUUUGUAUGAAGUCCAGCAGACAAAACGAAUCUUUUAAUGCUGUUCUAGUGUGUUGGAGGGUGGGGCAUGAUGGUGACUGGGAAGGAGCAUGAGAGAACUCUGGGCCAUGGGUCUGUCCUCCAUCAUGACUGUGGUAUUGAUGACUUAUUUAUAUACACUUGGAUCUGUGUACUCUGUGCAAUUAGAACAUGUUCAGCUGUUCAACAGUUCCCUCCAAUCAAUUUCAUUUACAUCAAAAGACUAACUGAUAUCAAAUAAAAUAUCACCUAUUAUUUUAUGGUUAAGGGUGGCACAUUUCCAGAGCCUCCCCUCUGACUUUGUGCAGGCUGCCUAACCCUUGAACUCUUCAUGUGUUCUCCAUCCUCAGGCACCUACAUGUGCUAUUCCUCCACCUGGACUAAUCUUGCCCUUAGUCUUCCAUGACUGGUUCCUAUACAUCCUUCUAGUCUAAAUGAGUAUUGAUUGAAUAUAUGAACUAUGCUCAUCCAUAGUAGAGACUCUAAGAUAUAAAAAAUGCCACU